rnacentral:misc_RNA from 1 species
GUGAAUCAUCAAAUCUUUGAACGCAAAUUGCACUCUCUGGUAUUCCGGAGAGUAUGCCUGUUUGAGGGUCAGUUUAAAUAAAAAUCGGUGUGUUGCUUCUUUGUGACGCUCCGGAGCUUGGGUAAUCUUAAUAUCUGUUAGGUUUUAAGAGGCUUAAAGUUGACUUUUUUUGCGCAUUUUAGAUGUACAUAAAUUCUUUUUUUGAUCAGUUUGUCUUAAUGCUCAAAAUCCUAUUAGAUGUGACAAUAUCGUGUGGUUGCGUGUCGAUA